UGAGUACGAGCUGCUACGGCAGCGAAGUGGGUGAUGUCAAGCUUCCAAGAAAAGCCCUAUACCCGUUAAGGCAUGAUGGCCUGUACCCGAAACCGACACAGGUGGGGUGGUAGAGAAUACCGAGGGGCGCGAGAUAACUCUCUCUAAGGAACUCGGCAAAAUGGCCCCGUAACUUCGGGAGAAGGGGUGCCACCGCAAGGUGGUCGCAGUGAAGAGGCCCAGGCGACUGUUUACCAAAAACACAGGUCUCCGCUAAGUCGCAAGACGAUGUAUGGGGGCUGACGCCUGCUCAGUGCCGGAAGGUUAAGGAAGCUGGUCAGCGUAAGCGAAGCUAGCGACUGAAGCCCCGGUGAACGGCGGCCGUAACGAUAACGGUCCUAAGGUAGCGAAAUUCCUUGUCGGGUAAGUUCCGACCCGCACGAAAGGCGUAACGAUCUGGGCGCUGUCUCGGAGAGAGGCUCGGCGAAAUAGAAUUGUCUGUGAAGAUGCGGACUACGUGCACCCGGACAGAAAGACCCUAUGAAGCUUUACUGUAGCUUGGUAUUGUGCUCGGGCUCGGAAUGCGCAGGAUAGGUGGGAGGCUAUGAACCAUUGCUUGUGGGUGAUGGUGAGCCACUGGUGAGAUACCACUCUUUCCGAGCUAGAGUUCUAACAGCCACCCGUUAUCCGGGGGCUGGACAGUAUCAGGUGGGCAGUUUGACUGGGGCGGUCGCCUCCUAAAAGGUAACGGAGGCGCGCAAAGGUUUGCUCAGGCUGGUUGGAAAUUAGCCGACGAGUGUAAAAGCAGAAGCAAGCUUGACUGUGAGACCUACAAGUCGAACAGGGAGGAAACUCGGCUUUAGUGAUCCGACGGUUCUGCGUGGAAGGGCCGUCGCUCAACGGAUAAAAGUUACUCUAGGACAACAGGCUGAUCUCCCCCAAGAGUUCACAUCGACGGGGAGGUUUGGCACCUCGAUGUCGGCUCAUCGCAACCUGGGGCUGAAGUCAGUCCCAAGGGUUGGGCUGUUCGCCCAUUAAAGCGGUACGCGAGCUGGGUUCAGAACGUCGUGAGACAGUUCGGUCCAUAUCCGGUGCAUGCGCAGGAAUAUUGAGAGGAUUUCUCCCUAGUACGAGAGGACCGGGAGGAACGCACCUCUGGUGUACCAGUUAUCGUGCCAACGGUAAACGCUGGGUAGCCAUGUGCGGAGAGGAUAACCGCUGAAAGCAUCUAAGUGGGAAGCCCACCUCAAGAUGAGUAUUCCCAUGGGGUAACCCAGUAAGGUCACGGGAAGAACACCCGUUGAUAGGCUCUACGUGGAAGCGCAGUAAUGUGUGAAGCGGAGGAGUACUAAUAGACCGAGGGCUUGACC
rnacentral:rRNA from 1 species